rnacentral:rRNA from 1 species
UAAGUUAUCCUGGAGCGGUGAGUAAAGCAAAUGUAGGAAUAAGUAACGAUAAGGAGGGUUAGAUUCCCUCCCGCUGUAAGACCAAGGUUUCCCGGGCAAUGCCAAUCAGCCCGGGGUCAGUCGGGUCCUAAGUCUAAGCCGAACGGCGAUGGCGAUGGCAGAGACGGUUAAUAUUCCGUCACUGCCGCAUGGGGCGACGUGGAGACGGAGCAGUGAAACCACCGCGGGGCGACGGAAGUCCCCGUUGAAGAGUGUAGGCGUUGAGGAUGGCAGGCAAAUCCACCGUCCGAGCUGAACUUGAGAGUAUGGAGUCUUCUUCGGAAGAAUCCAAUAGUGUGGGUAAUCAUACUCCCGAGAAAAUCCGCUAAGCUUAACCCAUGCGGCACCCGUACCGCAAACGGACACACGUGGUCGGGUAGAACAUACUGAGGCGUUGAGAGAUUCAUGGUUAAGGAACUAGGCAAAUUGACCCUGUAACUUCGGGAUAAAGGGUCCUCGUGAAUAGCGAGGCGCAGAGAAUAGGUCCAGGCAACUGUUUAACAAAAACACAGGGCUGUGCAAACUCGAAAGAUGACGUAUACAGCCUGACACCUGCCCGGUGCCGGAAGGUUAAGAGGAGAUGUCACUCGCAAGAGGAAGCAUUGAAUUGAAGCCCCGGUAACCGGCGGCCGUAACGAUAACGGUCCUAAGGUAGCGAAAUUCCUUGUCGGGUAAGUUCCGACCUGCACGAAUGGUGUAAUGAUCCGGACGCUGUCUCAACCAUGAGCUCAGUGAAAUUGUAGUAUCGGUGAAGAUGCCGAUUACCCGCGAUGGGACGAAAAGACCCCGUGAACCUUUACUACAGCUUAGCAUUGACCUUGGUCAUCCGAUGUGUAGGAUAGGCCGGAGGCUUCGAAGCGGGAGCGCCAGCUUUCGUGGAGCCAUCCUUGAAAUACGGCCCUUUGGCUGUCUGAGGUCUAACGCGCGAUGCGCGGACACUGCUUGGUGGGUAGUUUGACUGGGGUGGUCGCCUCCAAAAGCGUAACGGAGGCUUCCAAAGGUGCCCUCGGGUCGAUUGGUAACCGACCUCAAAGAGUGCAACGGCAUAAGGGCGCUUGACUGGGAGGCAGACAUGCCGAGCAGGCAGGAAACUGGGGCAUAGUGAUCCGGCGGAUGUGUAUGGAAACUCCGUCGCUCAAAGGAUGAAAGGUACUCCGGGGAUAACAGGCUGAUCCCCCCCAAGAGCUCAUAUCGACGGGGUGGUUUGGCACCUCGAUGUCGGCUCGUCUCAUCCUGGGGCUGGAGAAGGUCCCAAGGGUUGGGCUGUUCGCCCAUUAAAGUGGCACGCGAGCUGGGUUCAGAACGUCGUGAGACAGUUCGGUCUCUAUCUAUCGUGGGCGUGGGAGUUUUGCGUGGUGCCGUCACUAGUACGAGAGGACCGUGAUGGACAGACCUCCGGUUUACCAGUUGUGCCGCCAGGCGCACCGCUGGGUAUCUGAGUCUGGAUUGGAUAAGCGCUGAAAGCAUCUAAGUGCGAAGCCAGCCGCAAGAUGAGAACUCCAUUGAGGGUCGUCAGAGACGAUGACGUUGAUAGGAUGCAGGUGUAAAGACAGCGAUGUCAAAGCCGAGCAUUACUAAUUGCCCG